UACAGAGGGGGCAAGCGUUAUUCGGAAUUAUUGGGCGUAAAGGGCGCGUAGGCGGCCUGGCAAGUGGAAGGUGAAAUCCCUCGGCUUAACCGAGGAACUGCCCUCCAAACUGCUUGGCUUGAGUCCGGGAGAGGUGAGUGGAAUUCCUGGUGUAGCGGUGGAAUGCGCAGAUAUCAGGAGGAACACCGAUGGCGAAGGCAGCUCGCUGGGACGGUACUGACGCUGAGGCGCGAAAGCGUGGGGAGCGAACAGG
rnacentral:rRNA from 1 species